rnacentral:misc_RNA from 1 species
AAAGUAGAGCCGGAAAUUCAUUAUGUCGUCCCAAGAGAAAUUAUUCUCCGAAAGGACUUUAUCGAAACGAGAAAUGCAAAAUCUUGCAAUCAAUAUGACUUGUUCCUUUUCAACAAGACUUUUGGACAUAACAUUGGCAGGACAUGCAACGCUAGCGAGGGAGCAAAUUUUUCCUGCAAGCUCUUCAGUAACUGAAAGAAUUACUGUGCAUAUUUUACCGUAAACAACACAUUUCUGAAGGCUAAUGUCAUGCCCGCAAUAAUCUUGCUCUGUGGAUUCUGACUGCUUGGCUAAGUCACUUGGACCCGACAAAUACUCUCCCAUGUAAAACAUAGGCUUCACCUCAACCAG